UACGAAGGGGGCUAGCGUUGUUCGGAUUUACUGGGCGUAAAGCGCACGUAGGCGGGUCGUUAAGUCAGUGGUGAAAUCCCGGAGCUCAACUCCGGAACUGCCUCUGAUACUGGCGACCUUGAGGCUGGAAGAGGUUAGUGGAAUUCCCAGUGUAGAGGUGAAAUUCGUAGAUAUUGGGAAGAACACCAGUGGCGAAGGCGGCUAACUGGUCCAGAUCUGACGCUGAGGUGCGAAAGCGUGGGGAGCAAACAGG
rnacentral:rRNA from 1 species